GACGAACGCUGGCGGCGUGCUUAACACAUGCAAGUCGAACGAGAGGAGAAGGAAGCUUGCUUCUUUCAAAUCUAGUGGCAAACGGGUGAGUAACACGUAAACAACCUGCCUUCAGGAUGGGGACAACAGACGGAAACGACUGCUAAUACCGAAUACGUUCUUUUGUCGCAUGGCAGAGGGAAGAAAGGGAGGCUCUUCGGAGCUUUCGCUGAAGGAGGGGCUUGCGUCUGAUUAGCUAGUUGGAGGGGUAACAGCCCACCAAGGCGACGAUCAGUAGCCGGUCUGAGAGGAUGAACGGCCACACUGGAACUGAGACACGGUCCAGACUCCUACGGGAGGCAGCAGUGGGGAAUCUUCCGCAAUGGGCGAAAGCCUGACGGAGCAACGCCGCGUGAGUGAUGACGGCCUUCGGGUUGUAAAGGCUCUGUGAUCGGGACGAACGGUCAGCAGACGAAUACUCUGCUGAAGUGACGGUACCCGGAAUAGC
rnacentral:rRNA from 1 species